GAGAGGAACCCACCGAACCAGACUCGUCUCUCUCUCCCCCACGACUCCGCGCCGCCGCCGCCAUGAACGCCGGCCAUUUCCGGCGAGACCCGGCGGCGCGCAGCACGCCCCUUUCCUCCCCUGCCCCCGCGCCUUCCACCCAUCCGGCGCUCGCGGCCUCCAGUCUCACCCGCGGCUAGGGUUUCGCCCCCUGUCCGUUUUUCUGGAGGUCGGGCAUGGCGCGGGCGGGCCAAGCGCCCGCGACGAGGGCGCCAUAUCCGGGGGCAGGGCUCCCUUCUCCUCACGCUGCAGCCGCUGGCCUCCUCCUAAUCGAGGAGGAGGAGCAGGAGCAGGUGGGGCGCACCUAGCCCCCAAGGUCGCCGCCGUCGAGGGCUUCUACGACCUGGAUCCCGACCUCCACGGCGCCGUCGCUCCAGCAACUCGAGGUCAAGGAGAAGUCCACUCACGCGAUGUGCCCGUCCAUGGAGAGGAGCAGUAGCAGCUCAAGAUAUGCACGGAGAAGAAGACCAUCCUCUCCGCUGACGACACCUGUGCUG